rnacentral:lncRNA from 1 species
UUUUUUUUUUUUUUUUUUUUGACAUUUUCCUUUUUUUUCCUUUCUCAUUCUAUGUGCUCUUUGUGAGGUCAAACACAACUCCUGACUGAAUGGCCCCAGGAAAUGAAAGGUGAACCAAGGAGGGUCUAUCACAAUCGUCCUUAGAAUUGUUCUAGCAAGAGCUAGAGCUAGGGGGAAGGUUUAGCCCUGAUUCUGGGACAAUGGAGCUAGGAUACUGUGAAGUCCUAGUCACUCAGGCCAUAUAACUCACCGUUACAAGGUGGGUUCCCUGGAGACAGACAGAGAUGGAGAUAGGAGUGCAGGUGUUUAUUAGAGAUAAACCCCUGCAAAAGGAAUGAAGACACAUGGUUGGGCAGAGGGAGGAGUGGAUUGAGAGGCAGUUUUGACAAAGCUUAAGUCAACCUGUCAGGAAGCUCUGGAAUGAGGAAAGCCCAGCAGUGUCCCUCAUAAGUUCCAAAUGGCUGAUUAGCUUCACUUAGUCACCAAAUGAGUGGUACCAUGAAAGGUGUGACUUUGGGUGGAGUGGCUCUCUGCAGAUGAGGCAGAUCCUAAAGGAAAUGACAACUGGAGGCUGUUGGCUCAUUGCUUUUCCAAUAUUUUGCAGCAAGUUCUUUCUGGAAGAAGGAUUUGGCCAGUGCAUCUCCAUGUUGACAAUACCCACCAUUUGGAGAAGGUCUGAUUGUAGUAGGUGAGGAUGGGGCCACACAUUGACAAAAUCAAUGUUGAGGGAUGGAAAAAGAAAUCCAAUCAUAGGCUUGAGUAUAUGGACCCCGUGCACCUGAGGCCAGAACUACCCUUGCCAUUCGUAGUUACUUGAGCCAAUCAAUUCCCUUUUUUGACUUAGUCAUUUGAGGCAUGUCAGUCAGGGUUGAAACAGUUCUGUUGUAGGCAAUAAUUGAUUUGAAGGGACAAUAAUUAGUAGAGAGACCUAUAUAGAAGUUGGGAGAACUGAUGAGGGACUAAGAUAGUAGCAAUAGAGAUGUACAAUCUUACAUGGAAGAAUUGAUAGGCUAAAAUGACUGGUAUAAUGCAUGGACCAAGGAGAACAAAGAUUCUCUGACUGACUUCCCAACAUUUGGUUUAGGUGAUAUAGAAAGAUAGUGAAGCUAUUUACGGAGAUAGGGAAUAAAGGAAGAGGUGGAAAGUGGAAAUAAUUUAUGGGUUUAAACACAACAUACUAUAUUCCAAGUACAUAUAAUGUACUUAUUUAAAAUCUAGAAUGCUAAUAAACUUUCAGUGAAGAAUAUUACUGCUAAUCGGCAGGAAAACUUAAAACAGUUGGGCAUCUAAAGAGUUUUCCUGCUUGGAAGGGCUGUUUAUAAAACUAAAUUUAAAUGGGAAAUUUGCUUGAGUCAGGAUAAAUUAGUUAAAUGAUGCUUUUUAAUUAUUCUGAAGCUAUGACACUCAUCUUCACAAUAAGGAGAGAUCCACCAAGAAAACUUGAAUGUUUUGUCAGUUGGUCAGAAUAAUUGUGCUCUUGGCCAGUCAUAGCAAAAACCUGGAAAAUACUCGUCACCUCUGUUUUUAUCCCCAAGACUCAGUGCAGAUUCCCUUUUUUAUUUACCAUUAUGUCAUCAUUUCAGAACAUGUUAUAAGUUUCAAACUUAUACUCUGUAUGUUUAAGAAAGUUACCUUCUGACAGUAUCCAGGGGUUUGCACUUUUGCUUCAUAAGAUAAAUUAUAUAAAAUCACUUCAUGAGAUAGAUUACCAUGGAAAUAAAUAUUAUUCACAUAGAUCUUUAUUUAUAGAAAAUUGCACCAAUUGACUUUUGCCCCAUAUUUUGGCAUACAUCUUCCUUUAGUGUCAUUAUCCCUGUUUUACCAUCUAUUAUAGUACAUGAGUAGUGGAGACAGGAGGAGCCCUUAGUUGUCUAGUGUUUGCUUUAUUAGAUUCCAAAGCCUGGAAAUAAAGCUAUUACAUGUUAUAUAUACUAUUUAAUUUCCUCAUUUCAUCUCAAAUAUAGAUUUGGCAUCUAUCUUUAUGGGAGGAAUUAGUGAUACAACAACACUUGUUAUAUUGAUGAUAUGCAGGCUUUCUACAAUCAACAUUAUUGUGAGUUAGGUGCUGCCCCAACAUUUUACCUGUCUAGAAAAAUGUAUAAUCUAAAGGUACAGACAAAAAACAUGUUGAAUAAUUGUAGAUACUAAUUCACACCCUGUACCAGACCCUCAUUUUGCUACCUCUGCUUCAUUAUUCUUUAACUUAGUUCUUUUUCAAUUAACUCACACUGUCUGAAGAUUCAUUCUAUCCUCACUAGGACUUCUAGUCACUUAACCCUUUCCAAUUCCCCUAAAACAUGAAUUCUCUUUGGGAGCAAUGUCACUCCCAAUGUCACUCCCAAUGUCACUCCUAAUGCCAAAUUGUUAGACAUAAGCCAGGCAAGGACUUCUUACAUAUCAGAACGGUUUGUAGUCCUCCAAAGUGCCAUAACACAUAAGUAGAUAUAUAGUAUAUUUUUGGUUUAAAUUACAUGGGGGACUGAUUACAAAAAAAAAAAAAAA